UGAGUGGGCGAUGCCGAGGCACUCGCUCACUCCAAAUUGAGAAUUUGGCCCAGUUGGCCGUCGUGGGCGCAUCGUGUUCUUGGUCAGCACUUCUGUGUCGUGGUUUGGAAACAUCUAUUGGCGUCUCUCAGACUCCACAAUUUGUCGAGGAAUUGCAUGUCAGCUGACUUGGCGGCAAAGUAUUAAAUCGGUUCCGUUAUGAGUCAGGAUGUUGGAUGGAGCCCACAAGGAGCAGUUGAGCUAUUUCAUAUUUGUUUUGAUCAUCUUGGGAGCUUGCGACUUCCAUGUCUUCAUUUAGAACGCGUUCCAAUGUUAACCGGACUCUCUGGAGGCCAUGCUCCAGGAGUGUUUCGUGGCUGAUGGCUGUAUUUAUCUGGGUGUGUUGUAGUUGCGGCUGCUGUGGUUGCGUCAGCGAUUGCAGGUUUCCUGUCCCCUGAGGUGAUGUCGUUAGCUGCUGUUGUGGCGUUACUGAUGCCUGUUGAGUCUGCAUUGGCAGAGUAUGCUGUGUUUGAUGAUUCUGCUGCCUCUCGUCCACAUAGUCUGGUAUUUGCUGGAGUUGGUGCCUGGCCUGGAUGACAGUCGUCGUUAGCUGAGUUUGUUGGAGUUGCGGCUGCUGUAGCUGCGGUUGCAACUGCGGAUUCACUGACUCCUGAGUUGGCGUAGUUAGCUGCUGUUGUUGCUG